CACAACGCGAACGAUGUCAAAAUUCGUCACUUGGGUAUUUUUCCAUCUUCCGCGGAGUUCGUUCGAUUUUCCUGGCUGAAAAUCUUUGCUUUUUACCUUGCAUAUUUGCGUAUCAGAUUAAACUUGUACAAACUAAGAUUAUCGUGUGGUG